GAUGAACGCUGGCGGCGUGCCUAAUACAUGCAAGUCGAGCGAACUUUUCGGGUCUUGCUCCCAAAAGGUAGCUGCGGACGGGUGAGUAACACUUGGGUAACCUACCUGUACGACUGGGAUGACUUCGUGAAACCUGAUCUAAUACCAGAUAACAUUUAUGACCACAUGGCCUUCAAUUAAAAGGUUGCUUUUAUCUACCACUUACAGAUUAACCCGAGGCGCAUUAGCUAGUGGUUGAGGUAACUGCUCACCAAGGCGACGAUGCGUACACGGCCUGAGAGGGUGACGGGCCAUAGUGGGACUGAGAGAAGGCCCAGACUCCUACGGGAGGCAGCAGUAGGGAAUCUUCCGCAAUGGGCGAAAGUCUGAAGGAGCAAAGAAGCGUGAGAGAAGAAGGCCUUCGGGUCGGAAAGAUCUGUUGAUAGGGAAGAACAAGUAUCGUUUGAAUCGCGCGGUAACAUGAAGGUAACUAACCAGAAAGCCACGGCUAAAUACGUG
rnacentral:rRNA from 1 species